rnacentral:rRNA from 1 species
UAAUACAGAGGGUGCGAGCGUUAAUCGGAGUGACUGGGCGUAAAGGGCGCGUAGGCGGUUUUGUAAGUGAGAGGUGAAAUCCCUAGGCUUAACCUGGGAACAGCCUUUUAGACUAUGAGACUAGAGGACAGUAGAGGGUAGUGGAAUUUCCGGUGUAGCGGUGAAAUGCGUAGAGAUCGGAAGGAACAUCAGUGGCGAAGGCGACUACCUGGACUGUAACUGACGCUGAGGCGCGAGAGCGUGGGGAGCAAACAGGAUUAGAUACCCUGGUAGUCCACGCUGUAAACGAUGAGAACUAGAUGUUGGUUUGCGCGAGCGAAUUGGUAUCGAAGCUAACGCGAUAAGUUCUCCGCCUGGGGAGUACGACCGCAAGGUUA